rnacentral:rRNA from 1 species
CCUACGGGAGGCAGCAGUAGGGAAUCUUUCACAAUGGGCGAAAGCCUGAUGGAGCAACGCCGCGUGCAGGAUGAAGGCCUUCGGGUUGUAAACUGCUGUUAUAAGCGAGAAAUAUGAUGGUAACUUAUGAAUAAGGAUCGGCUAACUACGUGCCAGCAGCCGCGGUCAUACGUAGGAGCCGAGCAUUAUCCGGAGUGACUGGGUGUAAAGAGUUGCGUAGGUGGCAUAAUAAGUAGCUAGUGAAAUCUGGUGGCUCAACCAUUCAGACUAUUAGCUAAACUGUUAAGCUCGAGACCGUUAGGGGUAACUGGAAUUUCUAGUGUAGGAGUGAAAUGCGUAGAUAUUAGAAGGAACACCAAUAGCGUAGGCAGGUUACUGGGACGGUUCUGACACUAAGGCACGAAAGCGUAGGGAGCAAACGGGAUUAGAUACCCUUGUAGUC